AGAAGACAUUCUCAGUGAGACCUUGGGCCAGUAGCACCCAGAUGUCUGGACCUAUCCAGUUAAAAUCCUUCAAAGUUGCUCACAUUUUUUGACACAUGUUGCUGUGAAAGAUUAGUGAGCUUUCAAUUUUGUUUUGUUUUGUUUUGUGAGUGUGGGUGCUUACAAAAUAAAGUCUGAAGGGAGUGUUACGCAGAUGCAUUUUAGACUGUGCAACCCGAUCGGUUUGAACUCUGAACGAUCAUAUUAUUUAUUUAUUUGUUUGUCUUUCCUUCUCAAAGACAGUUAAUUACUGAAGCACCGAGAGAGAACAUUUUGUAUUCCUGCUUUGCGAAUGUGCCUCGAAAACCUGAGACUAAUGAGACCAAGUUCUCACCCCAGCUGUGAACUUGCUGACUUUCCUGCUUGGAAACCCGAGCAGAGCUUCUGAACAUUGAAACUUCACCUGGACCUUCUGGCAGCAUUUUGACCUUUCCUGGCUCUAUCUCAGUAUUUGAAUCAUUUGGGCUUUGGAUUAUGAACACAAGACACAGAAUGAAGACAGGCUCUGAGGGGCAAGUCUAUCUGGAUUUGACCUGGGUAGCUGAGUCCUCUUCCCACUCGUUUCUCCACCGCUUGAGAGGCUGAGGCUGAAAAUCCCAGGAAUGAAGAUUCUAAGAAACACCUUCUGCAAAAGAAAAAAAAAAUGUUUGUUUCUGUAAUUUUAUAAACCCUUGAUUUAACAGAACUUAAAAGGCACCUCACAUGGUCCAGAGGCUCUGAAUAUCACAUCUGCUUUUAAUAUUCUUGGGUGUCUUGGGCUUUUUUGGAGUCGGUUUGAUGCUGUCUUUUGUUGGAGGACAACUGCUGUAUUCUGUGAUGCAGGGAGUUGCCAGUUCAAAGGAUACAGCCUUACUUAGGCAAUUUCUUUUCCCUUGCCCUCCCCCACUUUCUCAGUGUUUCCUUUUGUUUUUGGAGUUGGGGGCUUUAAAACAGUCACAAGAGGCUCUCAGUAUAUUUUCUUUGAAGAACAGCUCUUUAUAACAAUGAUAGCAAAAUUUGUAGUCCGGUUUGAAGUUGAAUGGGCAGGGGAAAAAAAAAUACUGUUAAGACCACCACCGUUUGUCCUGAGCCAGGUAAAUGAAUGCCUGAGACUCAGUACUGGAGGGACAGGUAUAAUGACUGUGAAGCAAAUUUCAAGUGUCUUUCGCUAAUUUUCAUCUGGACUUCUUAUGUUCAGGAGUAAUUCAACACUCCUAGGUGAACUUCCCUACCACGGCUGAUUAUGUUAAAUAUCUUCCCUCCCAAACUCAGUGUGGGCAGUGCUUUAAAAGGAGCCUAGAUUCUGAACAUUUAAAAAGGCUCUUACUCAUUCAAAUUGAAUGUUAGAUUAAAGAGUGGGACAUCCGUGGACGCGAGAGGAAAGCUGGCCUUCUGCGUUUGUCUCAGACAAUGAUUUCGGCUAGAUGACUGUGUUUUGUGGAGAAAAGGAUUCGAUGGGAUAUUGACAGUCUCCUAUCAAUAGUUGAGCCCUAGAGGCCUGGCUGUUUGGGCCCACACUGAUUGACUGUGCCUUAAUAGACAUGUAAUUGUUGACAAAUACUUUCCGAUAGACUGUGGCAAUACCCAGCCAGACAAAGGAGGCUUCCGGGUAAUAAGAACCAGCACAGAGCCAUUUGUUACAGGCAAAGCCUUGCCGAAGAAACGACGUAUGCUAAGAAAGAAGCUCUGGAGAGAAAGAAGCAAGCUUGACAACCCUCUACCCACGCAGCCAAACCUGGGUGACACUGGUGAAGCCGCAACAGUAGAAUGUCCUGGGUCUUGAAGUAUCUGAAGCUUCUUCUAACAGACAAACGGGGUUGGAAAGAUGGCUCAGUGGUGAAGGGCGUGCACUGCUCUUCUCGAGGACCUGAGUUCAGAUCCCAGCACCUACAUCAGAUCACUCUCCAUCACCUGUGACUCCAACUCUAGGGAGAACAAACAUCCCUGGCCUCUACUGGCAUUUGCUCUCACAUGUAUAUAUGUCACCCAAACAUAAACACACAAUUUAAAAUAAUAAAAAUCAAUCUUAAGU